rnacentral:lncRNA from 1 species
GUGUGUGUGUGUGUGUGUGUGUGUGUGUGUGUGUGUGUGUGUGUGUGUGUGAAACAGGAACGGAGAUGGGGUUUAACCUCCCUCCACCCUUGGUCUGGAAAUUCCAAGGGACCCAUGGACACCAGGGAGCCGAGAGAAUCGCUAUCCUGGGCCGCUCUGCCCGUCGAGGCUGCGGUGAAGAUGAGGUCUGGUUGGCUUCUUUGUCCUUGGGAGCCCUCGUGGGAACGUUCCUUCAGCUUCCACCUAGUUGGGCCGAAUCCAGGGGUGGACUUAAGCCGGAGCCCUAUGGUGGAUCAGUCCCAUUUCUCCCAUCCUUCCUUCCACCACCAAUCCUUUCUUUUCUGUUUCACAACUCCCAGGGUCUUGCUCAGCAGGAUGGACCUCACUCUGGGAGUGGGGGUGGGGGCUUCGCGAAUUUGAAAGUUGUCUCUGCCUUGAUCUAGUUCCAGGCUCCCCGCGGCCACUCCAAACUCUGAGACCACCAGAAAAGAAAGAAGAAAAAAGUCAGUAUCUAUGCAGUGCAAGACUCUAGCGCUCACCUUUGAGCGCGGCCUCUUGGAACUCUUAAAGCCCGGCCAGGGAGCCAGGAGGGGGUCAGUGCGCACCGGCCCAGACAGGCCUCUGCAGCGCGCAGGCGCGGAUCCAGCGGCCGCCCCCUCUCCAUGCACAGGGUUGAGGGGACAGACCCUAAGCCCCACUCUGAGCAACUACUGACUCUUAAAAAAAAAAAAAGACCAUCUGGUAAUUGUCUUUCUUUAGAUCUUCCCUUAAUUAUGCUUUUAAUUAAAGAUGGUUCAAGGCACCGGACCACAUGAAGGGCAGUAAUUACAAAUUACAUUACAAACCCGACAGAUGUAGCGCGAUCUGCUGGGAAAAAGGUAGCGGAAUAAAAAUUUGACUAAACUUUGGGAUAAAUUAAUCGGCGGCCUGGAGAACAGAAGCGCAGUUCUGGUCGUGUAGACUGCAAGCAGGAUUUAAGUUUUGUGUCAUCAUGACUGUUUUCAUAUUUCUUUGACGUCUAUUGAUUUGGAGGCAGCUGCAAGCCUUUGUCACAGGAGAGAAGAGCAGUCACAAUAUAUUAGCUUGAUGGCAUAACUCGAACCGGAGAGGCGAGGGGAGCUGCAGUGACGGGGGCGCACGUGACCCCCUGCCCGCGGCUUGCCAGCCCAGCCCUCACUUAAAACUUGUUCUAACUGGAACAGUAAGUAUUGCUCUCCGUUCAGUCUGAAGGUGCUCUUCUGUCUAGGGUGCGGAUGGCGGUGGCAGAACCGCGGCGGCUGGGAGGCGGAAGUGUCCGAGGGUCCCGCACUACCUCUGUUGGGAGCCACUGAGGUUCUCGGUGGCACUUCUGGUCCGGCCUUUUGGAUGAAGUUUGGGGGUUCAACUGUUUUGUCCUCAAGGCUCUGGGCCAAGUCCUCGCUCAGUCUGGCCUUUUUGGGGGGCCUUCUCCCGAGGAUGUGUGCCUGAAAGACACGUGGCUCAGGAAGCUAUUGGACUGCCCGGAAGGUGUCCCCAGCCCCCGCCCCCUGGUGCGGGGGGCUGCCAAACCCCCUCCCCCACGAGAUUGUACCAGGUCGGGAUGCAAACUGCAAACUCAAGGGAGGGAAUUAGGCCACUCUCUUUGCUAAGUCUUACCUCGGCUUUUCUUACCUCAACUCUAUCCUGGUAGCACCAUAGCCUGGAAGACAUUUUCAAACCAGAGUCCACUCACUCUGAGUAGCUCCGCUUUAUGGAAAAACUAUGUGCCCAUCACUCACCCAUCUAUUUACAACACCGGUGCUGUGCCUCCCGGAGCAUGCAGGGACAAUUAAACACGCCCACUUAGGGCGGGAUGAUGAAGGCUUUCUAUUAACCACAGGCGUUCAGAAAUGGAUGCAAACCUAAUUUGGGCUUCUUGAUGGGGAUGGAUGUUCCCAGGCAAGGUGUGUGAUCCAGCCUGCUCUGGGAGAAGAGGAAGACCCAGCGGCCUUGCAUUUUCUUCUGCUUCCUUCGGAAGGAAAGUUUUCCUUUUGAUUCACUGUCUCCCUGUGUCCUUCUUUUCUUUUGUAUCGCAGUUUCUGAGAGGAGUGGAGAUAUUUUGACUAGGCCUCCCCAGGGGCCUUUUAAAUACUAGGCACCAUCACCCCUGCAAUAGUUCAUAGUUUCAAAAUGUGGGUGUAAGGGUCUGUCUUGCUGAGGAACAUCAUGUAAUUGGUGGUGACUGCUUAACUCAUACAGUGAAGCUAUGUAUUCCCUAGAGAUGGCUCAAAGGCUGCUACUUUUCCAACAGUUUUUAUGUGGGGGAGAAAAAAAAUUUCUAACAGACUUUUGAUAUUGGGUCACAGCAAAGUCACAUCUCAUUGUUCACUUCCAUCUCUCCCUUCUUGCUGUUGAGGCAAAUACAGGAAAAACACAGAAAUCAGGAUUCAAAGCCUCUCUGGCUUUUCUACAUAUAUGAAUGAGGACUCACUGAGUCCAUUGUGAUACAUCAUGGAAAGCAGCUCUGUUGAGACAGAUAUGUGGAGUUCAGAGAAAUUAGAAGGACAGCAACUGUGCCAAGGGUCUCCUAGUUUUUGUGGAUAAUACAGGUGAUAUGAUGCUUUUUGUUUCAGAAUGAAGCAAAAGGGGCCAGGAGGCAGACAGCCUCUCUUUUUGUGUCUGUCUCCUUCUGCCUCUGUCUCUUUGUCUCUGUUUCUCUCUGUCUCUCUGGGUCUCUGUCUCUUGUGUGAAUGUGUGUGUGUUUCCCAGGUACCCAGGUAUCCAUGAUUUAUACUCAGAAAUCAUUUCUAAAAACAGAGACGUUGCCAAGUAUGGUGGUACAUGCUUUUAAUCCCAGCAUUGGGAAAGCAGAGGUAGGCCUGUGAUUCUAGAACAGCCAGGGCUACAUAGUGAGACCAUGUCUCAAAAUAAACAAAUAGAGACAGGUCAUUACAAACUUGGCUUCAUCUUCUGUGGAUGUCUGGGUCUUUGGAGUAGUAACGGAUUAGGUCAUGGUUUUUAAUUUCUGUGACUUUCAGUGGUGGCUGUGGCCAUUUUAGGGCCUAGAUGUUCUCAAGAAGGAACCCGGGCUGUAUUUAUUGAUUUCUCCUGAAGAUUUUUCUGUUAGAUGAAAUGUAUUAUUUUUAGAUUAAACAUCUUAGCCAUCUCUAAAUUCUUUUAAAUUACUCUAUUUGUGAUUUUUUAAAGGUGGAUUUUUUUUGUUUAUUUAUAAGCAACUUCUAAUGAAUACAUCACAAUAUCAAGAGUUUAACACAAACUUGUGUACAAUACUGAAAAAUGCUCUACAGUAGGAAAAAAAAAACAAAGAAAAACGUUAAAACUCCUAUAACAUUGCUUGUGAUGCUAAUCUCUUCUCAGUGCAGGGAAUGGAAAAAUUUCAGCUGGUAUUUUGUUUUCUCACUUUGUGUUUCUUCUGUAAUGCUCAGCAGCACUCUGCCUGCCUUUGCUGUCUUCCCACAGCCUGUGUGUACACUAUGAAUUUCAAUAAAUAUAAAUUACCGCUU